rnacentral:misc_RNA from 1 species
UACGAAGGGGGCUAGCGUUGUUCGGAAUUACUGGGCGUAAAGCGCACGCAGGCGGAUUGAUAAGUUAGGGGUGAAAUCCCGAGGCUUAACCUCGGAACUGCCUUUGAUACUGUCAGUCUUGAGACCGAGAGAGGUGAGUGGAAUUCCUAGUGUAGAGGUGAAAUUCGUAGAUAUUAGGAAGAACACCAGUGGCGAAGGCGGCUCACUGGCUCGGUACUGACGCUCAUGUGCGAAAGCGUGGGGAGCAAACAGG